AGGACAAAGAACUCACAUAUCUGUAUCACAACACCUGUUGGAAAGCUGAAGUAGUGAGGAAAACGUGAUGCUGUGAAGAAAUACACAGGUUGAUAAAUGGAGAUGAGUAGAGAGGUGAAAACUCACACAUGCCUACAGGCAGCUGAUUUUGUCAAAGGAAAAAGACCUUCAAUGAAGAAAAGAGCAUCUGCUGCACAAAUGGUGAUGAAGUGUUUGGAAACCUUAUGUGAGAAAUGGACAGGGAAAACCUUUAUAAGUUCACAAAACUCACUCUAAAUAGUCCAUGGCUUACAUCAAAAAAUGUGAAACUACACUCACCUAUUCUUUUGUAAUCCUACCCCUUUGCCCUGUCUGGGAUAGAAUAUUCCAUGGAAACUACCUUUGUGUGUCCCCUUCUCUUGCUCUUGCCUUCUACUUUCCACUCUACACUUGCCUCAGCAUGCUUCUCUGGUGUUAUACUUUAGCAUUCAGGGAAGCAAGGACUCCUCACCAGUAAACAGCGGGAACACAACCAUCAACUAAUCUCAAAUUAUUGUACAAACU
rnacentral:lncRNA from 1 species